rnacentral:lncRNA from 1 species
AGUAAGGUUGUCAGACUUCAUGCCCUGACAAUUGACUGUCAUUGAAGGAAUGAACUGGCCCCGGAGCACUGUAAUAUUUGUGUCUUGAAUUGAUUCGAUUUGCUAAAUACAUUUUGACAUUGGCAUUUUUCUUCUUGUAGUCUUCAUUCAGAGAACACGCGGAUUGGCAGUGACACACGUGAGACUAUUGCGAUCCAACAAGGAGGAGGUGUCUGCAUGGGUAAGUGUGAGUGCACGCAUCAUUUAGCCGCAACUAUUACGUCGGCAAUAUUGUAUACAGUGAUCCCUCGCUAUAUCGCGGUUCAUCUUUCGCGGCUUCGCUGCUUCGCGGAUUUUUUUUUAUUUUUUUACAGUGCCUCUGAAUCCUGAUUGGCUCAGGGGCUUUACUGUUGUCUAGAAAUAAAAUAUUGACGCUGUACUGUAUUGAUUUUUCACUUGUCAACAGUUUUCGUUUCUGUGCAUUCUGCCAACUUUACGUUUGCACUUGGUCGCUUAGCAACCAUGGUGAGAAUGGCCACUGAACUUCAGCGCACGGCACAAGAAUGGGACCCUUUGAUGAGUCGUUCAUUGCAGUUCUCAAAUAUAAUUGAAGGUGGCAUAUCCGUUUAUAAAAAUCUUCUUGCCCAGAAAAAGAAAGAGCGCCAACAACUGCCUAUAACAAUGUUCUUCUCUCGGAGAAAGACUCCUGCGCCUAGAAACAGACGCUCCAGCGGAGCGGAGUCAGGACGAAGAGGCACAGCUGGGACUGGGAAAUACGCGAGUGACAAUGUUUCCAACCUUGUACAGUAUUACUAUAUUAAAAUUAUUGUUUUAAACAAAGUUUGGUCUUUAAAACAGGUUUUGAUGUUUGGUUUCAUUCUACUGUUCAGUAUUGCAUUGUAAAAUAAUUUAAAAAAAUAAAGUUGCUACUUCGCGGAUUUCACUUUUCGCGUGUUAGUUUUGGAACGCAACUCCCGCGAUAAACGAGGGAUCACUGUAUACCGUAUUUUCACGACUAUAAGAUGCACCUAA